UGCGGUUAUACAAAAAUUAAAUUAAAUUUUUUUAGGAUUUAAUUAAUAAAUAUGGAAUUAAUAAAUUAAAUUUUAAAUUAUAAAGUGAAAUUUUAAUUUAAUUAAAAUUUAUUUAUUUUUAUGACAUUAAUAAAUUUUAUAAAAAACUAGGAUUAGAUACCCUAUUAUAAAAAUUUAAGUUAAAUAAUCUUAAAAUAGUAUAUAAUUUUUUAUAGAAACUUAAAUAAUUUGGCGGUAUUUUAGUUCAUUUAGAGGAAUCUGUCUAAUAAUUGAUAAUCCACGAUUAAAUUUACUUAAUUUUUAAUUUUGUAUAUCGUUGUUAAAAAAAUAUUUUUAAAUGAUUAUAAUAUUUUAAAAUUUUAAUGAAAAAUUAAAUCAGAUCAAGAUGCAGAUUAUAAUUAAGAAUAUGAUGGAUUACAAUAAGUUUUAUUUAUUUGGAUAUUAAUUUGAAAUAAAUUAAUUGAAAUUGGAUUUAAAUGUAAUUUUAUUUAUUUUAAUAAAAUGAUUAAAAAUUAAAAUAUGUACAUAUUGCCCGUCGCUUUCAUUUAUAAAUUGAAAUAAGUCGUAACAAAGUAGAGGUACUGGAAAGUGUUUCUAGAAAGAU
rnacentral:rRNA from 1 species